CCUACGGGAGGCUGCAGUGAGGAAUAUUGGUCAAUGGACGGAAGUCUGAACCAGCCAUGCCGCGUGCAGGAAGACGGCUCUAUGAGUUGUAAACUGCUUUUGUACAAGGGUAAACCUGAAUACGUGUAUUCGGCUGAAAGUACUGUACGAAUAAGGAUCGGCUAACUCCGUGCCAGCAGCCGCGGUAAUACGGAGGAUCCAAGCGUUAUCCGGAUUUAUUGGGUUUAAAGGGUGCGUAGGCGGAUUGAUAAGUUAGAGGUGAAAUGUCCGAGCUUAACUCGGGAACUGCCUCUAAAACUGUUGAUCUAGAGAGUAGAUGCGGUAGGCGGAAUGUAUGGUGUAGCGGUGAAAUGCUUAGAGAUCAUACAGAACACCGAUUGCGAAGGCAGCUUACCAAUCUAUAUCUGACGUUGAGGCACGAAAGCGUGGGGAGCAAACAGGAUUAGAUACCCCUGUAGUC
rnacentral:rRNA from 1 species